rnacentral:rRNA from 11 species
AACGCCCCGCCGGCGGAUGCCUCGGCCCGGGCGGCGACGAAGAGCGCGGCGGAGCGCGAGACGCGGUGCGGACCCGCCCGCCCCGAGAAGCACCGACCCUCGAACGCAGCGCGCCCCGGCGCCGCCGCCUCGGCGCCCGCGCGGCCCGAGGCGGCGGGGGCGACGGGCGGAACUUAAGCAUAUCAGUACGCCCCGGAGGAGAAACCAACCGGGAUUCCCCGUAGCGGCGAGCGACGCGGGAGRAGCCCGCCCCGAAGGCGCGCUGUGGGGCGCAGGCGCAGGCCCGCCGCGAGGGGGCCCGAGGGCCCCGCCCGAGAGGGUGCAAGCCCCGUACGGCGGCCGCCGGGCCUGCGCGGCGAGUAGCGCUGCUUGAGCGUGCAGCGCGAAGGGAGGCGCGGCCCUUCCAAGGCUAAAUACGCCCCGGGACCGAUAGCGGACCAAGUAGCGCGAGCVAACGGUGAAAAGGACGCCCUGCGGCCGCUCAAAAGACCUGAACCCGGCCGGCCGCCGGCCCGCCGGCCCCGUCUCGAAACACGGACCGAGGAGCCACGCGCCGCGGCGAGCCCGAGGGAGCCCCCGCGGCGGAGCGAGCGCGAGACGCCCCGGGCCCGCCGCGCCCCUGCGGGCGUGCGCGGGCCGAGCCGCGGCGCGUGGGCCCGAAAGGCGGUGAUCUAUGCCCGGCGAGGGCGAGGCCGGGCGAAAGCCUGGUGGAGGCCCGCCGCGGUGCUGACGCGCAGAUCGCUCGUCGGAGCCGGGCAUGGGGGCGAAAGACUCAUCGAACCGCCUGGUAGCUGGUUGCCUCCGAAAUGUCUCCCAGGACAGCCGCCGCCCCGCAGUUGCGGCCCGUAGAGCGCUGGCCGGCGGGAGCGGGGGGCCUGCCCCUCGCCCGCCCCCCAAACUCCGAAGGGCCGCGCCGCCCCGCCGCUGGCCUGGGCGGGGCGGGCGAAUGCGGGCGGCGCGUGGGCCCCUCCUGGUAAGCAGGACGGGCGAGGCGGGACGAUCCGGACGCCGGGCCAGGGUGCGCCGCCGGGGCCCGCGGAACGGCGUCGGCCGGUCCCGACAGCUGGAAGGUGGCCCCAGAAGUCGGCAUCCUCCAGGGAGUGUGUAACAACCCACCAGCCGAAUCGGCCGGCCCGGAAAAUGGAGCGCGCCGGAGCCCCGGACCCGCGCCCGGCCGCCGCGCGCGGCGGGUAGGAGGCCGCAGAGGCCCCGGGGGCGAAGGCGGCGCGCAGGCCCCGCCGGACCGGCCUCUGGUGCAGAUCUCGGCAGCAGUAGCCGCUACUCCGCGCCCCGGAGGACUGAGGGGGAGACGGGUUCCGCGGCGCCUGCAUCUGGCCGCGGGUGACUCGGGCCUAAGCGGCGGGUGAAGACCGGGAAGGGGCGUGCCCGCCCGUCGAACGGGGAGCCGGCGGAGACUCCGGCAGGCGCGGCCCCCGCGGAGACGCCCGCCCCCCGGCGACGCGCACGGGGACCGCGGCGGGCGGCGCCCCGGCCCGCGAACGCCCCGCAGCCCCCGGACGCCUUGCGCGGAGAGGGGGGCCCGGGGGCGGACCCCGCGCGUCCCCGGCCGCCCCUGAAAAGCCGGGGGGCGCCGGCCGCGCGCCGUACCGACCGCAGCAGGACUCCGGGGUCAGCAGCCUCUAGCGCGGGAGCGAACGCGGCUCAGGGAAGUCGGCAAGCCGGCUCCGUAACCUCGGGAAAAGGAGUGGCUCUGACGGCGCGCCGGGUCAGAACUGGAACGGACGCGGGGAUCCCGACUGUUUACUAGAAACACAGCGUCGCGAGGGCCGCACCCGGCGCUGGCGCGACGUGAUUUCUGCCCAGUGCCACGACCGUCACCGUGAAGCGAUCCGCCGAAGCCCUGGUAAACGGCGGGAGUAACUAUGACUCUCUUAAGGUAGCCAAAUGCCUCGUCGGGCAAUUUCCGACGUGCAUGAAUGGACCAACGAGGAUCCCACUGUCCCGAGCCGCGCCUCCGGAGCCUCCAGCCUCGGGAACGGGCGAGGGCCGGCCAGCGGGGCAAGAAGACCCUUUUGAGCUUGACUCCAGCCCGGGCCUGUGGGGCGGGGCGGCCGGCGCAGCGCACAGGGGAGGCCGCGCCCCUGAGACACCCUGACGGCCGCCGCCGCCCCGCUCACCCGGUCGCGCGGGGACCCGCCCGGGCGGGGAGUUCGGCUGGGGCGGCGCGCCUGCUACACCGGACCGCAGGCGUCCCACGGCGGGCUCAGCGAGGACGGAGACCUCCCGCGGAGCAGAAGGGCACAAGCCCGCCCGACCCGCGCCCCCCGUGCCGGCGCGGGCCGCGAAAGCGGGGCCUACCGAUCCUUCGCCGCCCCGGCCGCGGGCGCGGAGGUGGCAGAAAAGUUACCACAGGGAUAACUGGCUUGUGGCCGCCGAGCGCCCGCAGCGACGCGGCUUUUUGAUCCUUCGAUGUCGGCUCUUCCUACCGUCCGCGCGCACCGGCGCGGAAGCGUCGGAUUGUUCACCCGUUCAAGGGAUCGUGAGCUGGGUUUAGACCGUCGUGAGACAGGUUAGUUUUACCCUACUGGCCCCGGGGCCAGAGCACGGCGGGCCAGUACGAGAGGAACGCCCGCCGCGGGCGCCCAGCCCCGCGGUUGCCCGCCGGGGCAGGCCCGCGCGCCCGGGCCCGGGGGCCUGGCGCUACCGCCUCUAAAGCGCCACCCCCCCCUCCGGCCCCGCCGGGCCGCCGCCCCAGCCCCGUGCCCCGUCGCCGAGGCGGCCCCCGCCCGGGAGACCACCCCGGGCGGGCGCUCUGUACGGCGCCAGGGCCUGCGAUCGGCCUGGGGACGCGCCUGCAGGAGCGCGGGGCGGGCGCGCGGCCCACUUGCU